rnacentral:lncRNA from 1 species
CUUUGAACACUUCAAUUAAGACCACAAUGUUCUUUGGCCCUGGUAGCUUUGUUCUGCCUUUCCUCCUCCCCCAUCUUCCUGGAAUGUGUGGGCUGGAGAGAGGAACAUAAAGGGAAACAAAAGGAAAGAGUUGUCCUGUCCACUGAAGCCCGAGGUUGGGCAAGGCCCCUACAUAAUGCACAGAGGACACCCACAACCAGCCUUCAGCAUCUGGGGUGACCUGCUCCAAACACCUCUCCGCUCGGGUGCCCAGCCCCACCCCUCCCCUGGAGCAAGGGACAGUCCCAGUCCACAUCUCACUUGCUCCUCAGCAGCAGUGGACAAGCUGGACCCUUCCUCCUCCUGGAAGUGAGCCACUCUUCAGCAUCUAGAGAGCAGCUCCUCUCCUGCGAGCCCGUGCCAGCCAGCUGCUUGGGAAGGAAACCCAUCCUAGGACAGUCAGCUCUGGCAGCGGACCUGGGAGGCCGACUCCAAAGGCAGAUGUUGGAGCCGGCUCUCUGACCAGCCCGGGGGCAAUGGAGACCCGCCACUCCUGGGAGAUGGAGACUGGAGAGCUCUGGGUGCUGCCAAGGCAUAAAAGGGGACACAGCGUGCCUCGCCUCCGGAUGACUCAGCACCAGGCGCCAUCCUGGAAGUGGCGAGCAGCCCUCACCAGGCUCCCAACCUGCCAGCCCCUUGAUCCUGGACUUCCAGCCUCCAGAGCUGCCAGAGGAGACCUGUCUGUUCCUCAUCAGUUACCCAUCCUUGGGUGUUUUGUUGUAGCGACACUAAGCGACUGAGACAGACAGCCAGGACACUGAGGGCAAAGGCGCUCUAGAAAGCCAGUGGGUCCCUCGCCUGGUGUCAGGUGCUAAGGCACCGGCCAGAGGAGAGGGCGGUCCCUGGGAGGAAGGCCCUGCAACCUCAUGGCAAGGAUGGCCAGUCACGUUCCUGGGUCCUUCCCCAAAGGGGCAGCAGUGUGCCGGAGAAACAGGAAGGCCCAGGCCCCUCCAGGACUGUUGAGGGUGAUCCUGAGCACCUGAAGUGCCCCAGGCCCAGAGUAGCAGGGCUCUUCAUCUUCCUGGAGGGUGAGUCAGGCCUCCCCGCCCUGGCCCACUUGCCCAUGGGUCCUCAUCCAUGUGGGAUGAAGUCUGAAGACAUCACUGGGCCCUCCCAGCACCCCAGCCCAGGGCAGGACUGCGUGAGUGAUAAAUAAAGACGCCCUGGACCACCCUUGAUGAAGGCCAGCUCCCUCCCACCUUCUGGACUGCCACCUCCCCACUCUGCACCUUCACCCCCUCUCAAGAACCACAGCCUCUAGGGCCCACCUCUCUGCUUCUGAGGAAAGCAUUAGGGUGGGGACGUAGAUGGUCCCACCACUUGCAUUGUAAAAGACACACAGAGGGCAAUGCUGUAGUCUAAGAAAAGAUUUUCUAAUGGUGGAGUUUCUGGCAAAAAGGCAUGGCCAUCAUGAGGCAGUUAGUGCUGUUGGGCAAAGAAUUGCUUCCAUAUUUGUCUCAAAGCAUUAAAAUGGGCACCAAAUCAAUAUUUCUUUAAUAAAAAACACAAAAAUCUUGGCCUAUGCUCUCCCAACACACCCUGAGCAUGUCUCUAGCAUCACUAGAAUGCUAGAGGCAUUUGACUGCAUCUUGCCUGUUACCUGUUAACUUCUUGCUUCCCUCCCUCAAUUGUGAGCUCACUGAGGGCAGGGAUAGGACUGAAGUAUCCUCUGAAUCUUUAACCUCAGGCGCUUAGGGACAGGGGGAUGGGACGGAGAUGUGGCAGGCAGAGUCCAGCCUCCCCAGAGCCACCUCCCAGCCCUGCGCAUGUGCUUGGCAAGUCCCUGAUGGGAGCCCAGGCAAGGCUGGGGCUUGUGCGUGUCUCCCCUGCCAGGCUGUGAGCACCCGGGCAGGCUUGUCCAGGCCAGCCCAGCUGCUGCCUGACACCAGCCCAGGUCCUGGCCCCCAGAGAGUGCCUGGUGAAGUCUGUCUGGCUGAGGUCCGACACAAGGGGGUAAGGAAUUAUUUCCUUCCCUGAGGCUUCAUUUUGAAAAUAAAUUUAGUAACUUCUAAACAAAUCGUACUGACUCUCCCAGUUGUAUUUGUUUAGUUAAAUUAAUUCUAUUUUAAUAUUUCCAUUAGCCAUUUAAUUUAUUCUAAAACCUG